rnacentral:rRNA from 1 species
UCAGUCGACUCCUACGGGGAAGCAGCAGUGGGGGAAUAUUGCACAAUGGGCGCAAGCCUGAUGCAGCCAUGCCGCGUGUAUGAAGAAGGCCUUCGGGUUGUAAAGUACUUUCAGCAGUGAGGAAGGCAGGUACGUUAAUAGCGUGCUUGUUUGACGUUAGCUGCAGAAGAAGCACCGGCUAACUCCGUGCCAGCAGCCGCGGUAAUACGGAGGGUGCGAGCGUUAAUCGGAAUUACUGGGCGUAAAGCGCAUGCAGGUGGUUUGUUAAGUCAGAUGUGAAAGCCCGGGGCUCAACCUCGGAAUUGCAUUUGUAAACUGGCAGACUAGAGUACUGUAGAGGGGGGUAGGAAUUUCAGGUGUAGCGGUGAAAUGCGUAGAGAUCUGAAGGAAUACCGGUGGCGAAGGCGGCCCCCUGGACAGAUACUGACACUCAGAUGCGAAAGCGUGGGGAGCAAACAGGAUUAGAUACCCUGGUAG